rnacentral:rRNA from 1 species
UACGGAGGGUGCAAGCGUUGUUCGGAAUCACUGGGCGUAAAGCGCGUGUAGGCGGUCUCUUAAGUCUGGUGUGAAAGCCCGGGGCUUACCCCCGGAAGGGCACUGGAGACUGGGAGACUCGAGUACCGGAGAGGAAGGUGGAAUUCCUGGUGUAGCGGUGAAAUGCGUAGAUAUCAGGAGGAACACCGGUGGCGAAGGCGGCCUUCUGGACGGCUACUGACGCUGAGACGCGAAAGCGUGGGGAGCAAACAGG